CACUGACCUUAGGGUAAAACUAAGUUUCCUACCACCAUGCAUAAUACCUCCACUAGCUGUGCACAGGUACCUAUCCUCCUCAUCUGAACCACUUCCCAUCUUGUUUACCUUACUUUGGGUAUCUUAGUGUUUGUGUCUUAAAAUUCUGUUCUGUGUUCCUUUCUGCUCGGCAGCCUUCAUAUAUUUUGGUCUCUCCCAGGAGAGCACUUUUCACAUCUUAAUUCACUCACUUAGCUCACUCAGUCUUCAGAUCUCAGUUCAUUAUCAUUGCCCUAGGGAGCUCUCUUCAUUAUUCCUGUCCCUUUCUCCCCCAGAACUAAAUCAAUUCCUCCUGUUCCAUUCUCUCCUGGCUCCUGUACUCAGGACAGCUGACAAUUGUUCCUUGCCUGGUGAUUGCCUGUAUCACCCACUAGAAUAUGAGUUGUAUUAAAAUGAAAACAACACCAGAAGCUGACACACAGAUUGGGAUGGAGAAAAAUAACAGACUAAAUGGCUACAGGACUUGGAGGAACAGAAACUUCUGCCUGCAAAGGACUGGGACAAAGAGGCAGAUAAAGACCAGCCACCUGCUUCCAGCAUUGCUCUCAUGGCCACUGGGAAUUCAACUUGAAGGCCUUGGAAAACAUUUCUGAUGACUCUGGAAUGGAGGAAAAGCCCAGUGGUUCUGGUUGGAUUUCAUGUAGAAAACCCUCCCCUUGUUUUAUAGAAGCCAGAGCAGGGACCAGUGGUGUUGUAUAGAGCUCCCCAGGGUUGCAGGUGAACUGAUGUGUCUAUUCGAGGUUACCUCUGGUCAUCUACAGCCUGAGAUUAAUGGGUCCCCAAUCCUAAUGCUGCAAUGGUAGUUAUCACGCCCAGAUUUUCAUCUUAAUCCGUAGAGAUGAGCACACAUCAAAAAGCUCAGCAGGCUGGCCCAGAUCGUUAUGAUAAUGAUUAAUAACAGGCUUGUAGACGGUGCUUCUGCCUGCACGGCUCACCAUUGCUUUUAUGCAGAAGACUCCAGUGCACAAAGGUAAAAGGGAGGACAACAGCAGCACUGGGGACAGAUGGAUUUCCUUAAGUAAAUCAGUUUCUCUAUAAUCCAAAGCCUAGGUUGGAUCUGAAUUCCAUGCCUUGUAACUUCCUUUCAUAUAAUGGAUCUGAAAGUCAGUUUGGCUAUGAAUAUCGAUAAAAG
rnacentral:lncRNA from 1 species